CUAUAGUUUGGAAACUGGCUCAGGAUGAACGCUAGCUACAGGCUUAACACAUGCAAGUCGAGGGGCAUCAGGAAGAAAGCUUGCUUUCUUUGCUGGCGACCGGCGCACGGGUGAGUAACACGUAUCCAACCUGCCCUUUACUCGGGGAUAGCCUUUCGAAAGAAAGAUUAAUACCCGAUGGCAUAAUGAUUCCGCAUGGUUUCAUUAUUAAAGGAUUCCGGUAAAGGAUGGGGAUGCGUUCCAUUAGGUUGUUGGUGAGGUAACGGCCCACCAAGCCUUCGAUGGAUAGGGGUUCUGAGAGGAAGGUCCCCCACAUUGGAACUGAGACACGGUCCAAACUCCUACGGGAGGCAGCAGUGAGGAAUAUUGGUCAAUGGGCGGUAGCCUGAACCAGCCAAGUAGCGUGAAGGAUGAAGGCUCUAUGGGUCGUAAACUUCUUUUAUAUAAGAAUAAAGUGCAGUAUGUAUACUGUUUUGUAUGUAUUAUAUGAAUAAGGAUCGGCUAACUCCGUGCCAGCAGCCGCGGUAAUACGGAGGAUCCGAGCGUUAUCCGGAUUUAUUGGGUUUAAAGGGAGCGUAGGUGGACUGGUAAGUCAGUUGUGAAAGUUUGCGGCUCAACCGUAAAAUUGCAGUUGAUACUGUCAGUCUUGAGUACAGUAGAGGUGGGCGGAAUUCGUGGUGUAGCGGUGAAAUGCUUAGAUAUCACGAAGAACUCCGAUUUGCGAAGGCAGCUCACUGGACUGCAACUGACACUGAUGCUCGAAAGUGUGGGUAUCAAACAGGAUUAGAUACCCUGGUAGUCCACACAGUAAACGAUGAAUACUCGCUGUUUGCGAUAUACAGUAAGCGGCCAAGCGAAAGCAUUAAGUAUUCCACCUGGGGAGUACGCCGGCAACGGUGAAACUCAAAGGAAUUGACGGGGGCCCGCACAAGCGGAGGAACAUGUGGUUUAAUUCGAUGAUACGCGAGGAACCUUACCCGGGCUUAAAUUGCAGUGGAAUGAUGUGGAAACAUGUCAGUGAGCAAUCACCGCUGUGAAGGUGCUGCAUGGUUGUCGUCAGCUCGUGCCGUGAGGUGUCGGCUUAAGUGCCAUAACGAGCGCAACCCUUAUCUUCAGUUACUAACAGGUCAUGCUGAGGACUCUGGAGAGACUGCCGUCGUAAGAUGUGAGGAAGGUGGGGAUGACGUCAAAUCAGCACGGCCCUUACGUCCGGGGCUACACACGUGUUACAAUGGGGGGUACAGAAGGCAGCUAGCGGGUGACCGUAUGCUAAUCCCAAAAGCCUCUCUCAGUUCGGAUCGAAGUCUGCAACCCGACUUCGUGAAGCUGGAUUCGCUAGUAAUCGCGCAUCAGCCACGGCGCGGUGAAUACGUUCCCGGGCCUUGUACACACCGCCCGUCAAGCCAUGGGAGCCGGGGGUACCUGAAGUACGUAACCGCAAGGAUCGUCC
rnacentral:rRNA from 1 species